GUGCCAGCCGCCGCGGUAAGACGAAGGAUGCAAGCGUUAUCCGGAUUCAUUGGGUUUAAAGGGAGCGUAGGUGGCCUUGUAAGUCAGUGGUGAAAUCUGGCAGCUUAACUGCUAAAUUGCCAUUGAUACUGCAGGGCUUGAGUACAGAUGCCGUUGGCGGAAUAUGACAUGUAGUGGUGAAAUACAUAGAGAUGUCAUAGAACACCGAUUGCGAAGGCAGCUGACGAAACUGUAACUGACACUGAGGCUCGAAAGUGUGGGGAUCAAACAGGAUUAGAAACCCUGGUAGUCC
rnacentral:rRNA from 1 species